UUUUAUCCGUUGAGCGACGGCCCUUCCACUCGGCACCGUCGGAUCACUAAGGCUGACUUUCGUCUCUGCUCGACGGGUGAGUCUUGCAGUCAAGCUCCCUUCUGCCUUUGCACUCGAGGACCAAUAUCCUAGAUCGGAAAAGCACACUU